AUAUAUCAAUUUUGCACAGUUGCUGAUUAAUAGACUUGCCUAUGCUAAUCCUAUUAUUCAAUUUACAACUUACUAUGUGGUUGUUGAUGAGUCAGUUGGAAAACAAUUUGCAAUAGUUUUUUUGGAGCGUGUUAAGAUGAUUUUGGGUCAAACUAUGGGAUGAAAACGUUGUAACUACUCGUCAGAAAAUUGAUCAUGCUUACUUAACUUCAAAGGUUGUUGUAAGAAGCUUACUAUGUGGUUGUUGAUGAGUCAGUUGGAAGACUAUUUGCAAUAGUCUUUUUGGAGCGUGUUAAGAUGAUUUUGGGUCAAACUAUAGGGAUGAAAACAUUGUAACAACUCGUCCAAAUAACCUGAACAAGGAAUUCAAGUUAUUUAAUAUUAAAAUUUACUGUAAUAUUAUGUAAGGGCAGAAGGCAGAAUUUUCUAUUAAGUCAUUUAAUUACAGUACUCUCUUAAGCAUAUUCCUAAGUUUAUGAAGCAUAUGCAGUAUUGUGCUAAACAUCCUGAAGAAGUAAUUGUUGCAUUCUAUGACUUUUUCAAAGUGGAAAAGAUGCCUGUCAGCGACACUGAAAUUGGUGAAUCGCAUAUUGCUAGCACCAUCUAUGCUACUUUGCCACUGUUUUUUUUUUUUUU